rnacentral:tRNA from 1 species
CGGAGAGUAGCUCAGCCGGAAUGAGCAGUGGGUUGAAAAUCCACGUGUCGGGGGUUCGAGUCCCUCCUCUCCGG